UACGAAGGGGGCUAGCGUUGCUCGGAAUCACUGGGCGUAAAGCGCACGUAGGCGGAUUGCUAAGUCAGGGGUGAAAUCCUGGAGCUCAACUCCAGAACUGCCUUUGAUACUGGCGAUCUCGAGUCCGGGAGAGGUGAGUGGAACUGCGAGUGUAGAGGUGAAAUUCGUAGAUAUUCGCAAGAACACCAGUGGCGAAGGCGGCUCACUGGCCCGGUACUGACGCUGAGGAGCGAAAGCCAGGGGAGCAAACGGG
rnacentral:rRNA from 1 species